CCUUGGUUCUGAAUACACAACUCUGCACUGAGCGUGCAGUCAUGACACCAACGCCAAACACUGCCUGGAGUGCCUGGGCUCAGAGCAGAAACUACAGUAUAUGAAGAACUGUGGGUUUCAUGCAAAUUACCAUCCUGCUGCCUUUGCAGAUGACACCCAUGUGUAGCUGGAAAGAGACCUACCAUAGCAGUCCUGGGUGCAACUUAAAGAAUUGGACCUGGCCUGUCUGAUGGAAAUUCUGAACACAAGAGGAUCCAUUCAAGGCAUGAUGGAGUGCCUCACAGAGGCGGCAAUAUGUUCCCAGUUGGCAAACAGAGACCUGUUUGGACAGUGACUACAGCAUCCACUCAGCAAACAUCAGCUUUCCGAGGAGUUCACAGGAGAAAGAGGGAGAUGCUGUAGGCCUCUUUUUCAGACUCCAGCUCCAAUUUGGGACAAUCUUUCUAAACAAAAGGCCUUUGUUGCCAAAGUCACAAUUCAGUGGGUCCCAACUGCUUUCCUAGAAACUAUAUCCAUCUAUUCACAACUGAGUUUGGGCCAAAACUCAUUUGUAAAGAUCUGAAAGGACAAGAAAGUGAUGGGAAACACCCCAAUUUCCAUCGGUACAAUAACAGACAAGGAAUGGAUAGGAAGCGCUAUACACCAGCCAGCGAGGGCGCAGCUAGAGGAAGGCAGCCCAGGGCCUUCUCAAGAGCAGGGGUGUUGGUAGUGCUGCAGCUUAAGAACACAAGCUCUGGGGAAAUAAUGAACAAGUGAAACCACCAGCUUCCAGUCGGGUUACGUUCCUCUGUUCUCUUUCCCUACAGGUUGUCAGAAGAAAAUCCAUACACAGUUUCAUUAAAGUGGUCAGUUCUGAAAGAUAGCAACAGUGGCAAGAGUCUUGUUCACCCAAAAUCUCACCAAAUCCUCCAUGGCUCAAGUAAAUGAAUAUGGAGCAGA